rnacentral:rRNA from 1 species
AUGGCUAAAAAAGGUCCCACACGCAACAUUAACAUUAAUUGGGGGAUCAUUCCAACUCCAAGCUGCAAUCUUCAGGAGUUGGACGCAGGCAUCACCGAAGAGGAGGUCAAGGCUGCGGUUUUUGCCUUACCUAGUGACAAAGCCCCGGGCCCAGAUGGCUUCACCUAUGCUUUCUUUAAAGCAUGCUGGAACAUUAUCAAGGGAGAUCUCAUGUCAGCCAUUUGCCGCUUCUCUGACUUGCAUGCCACCCACUUCAAUUGGCUCAAUUCCGCGGACAUCCCUCUCAUUCUUAAGAAAGAUGGGGCUGAAGAUGUAUCGGACUUUCGACCCAUCAGUCUUAUUCAUGCCAUUGCAAAAAUUAUUGCCAAAGUGGUGUCCAACCGGCUCGCCCCGCACAUGAAUGACCUUGUAUCUCAGGCGCAAAGUGCAUUCGUCAAACAACACUGUAUACAUGAUAACUUCAUGUACGUGCACAAUCUUGUGAGGCGUUUCCACCGAAAUAAAACACCAGCGUUACUUUUCAAGCUCGACAUCAAGAAAGUUGUUGACUCUGUUCGCUAGGACUAUCUCCUUGACCUUCCCAAACACCUUGGAGUACCUCCGCGCUUUCGGGGUUGGGUUUCGACGCUCUUAGCUUCGGCAUCCUCGCGAGUCUUGCUUAAUGGUAUUCCAGGCAACCCUAUCAAGCUUGGGAAG